UUUUAUUUAUUUAUUUAUUAUUAUUUAUUUUUAUUUAUUUAUUUUGUAAAAAAUUAUUAUUUAUUUUUUUUCGUUUUUUUUUUUUUUCGUUUUUUUUUUUAUUUUAAAUAAAGUUUCUUGGAUCUAAUUCUGAUUGACAUGAUGAAAUGCAAUAUGAAAUGCUAAAUGAAUGCAUGAAUGAGGAGGGAAAAUUUUGGGGUGUUACAACUGCCCCUAUUCAAUCAUCAACUAACCCGAGUAGGAUGAAAGCGAACAACUUAUCAGACAAACGGGGUGAGCUGUGAUUGAAUACCAAAGACAGACC
rnacentral:lncRNA from 1 species